AUUGAACGCUGGCGGCAGGCCUAACACAUGCAAGUCGAGCGGAUGAAGGGAGCUUGCUCCUGGAUUCAGCGGCGGACGGGUGAGUAAUGCCUAGGAAUCUGCCUGGUAGUGGGGGAUAACGUCCGGAAACGGGCGCUAAUACCGCAUACGUCCUGAGGGAGAAAGUGGGGGAUCUUCGGACCUCACGCUAUCAGAUGAGCCUAGGUCGGAUUAGCUAGUUGGUGGGUUAAAGGCCUACCAAGGCGACGAUCCGUAACUGGUCUGAGAGGAUGAUCAGUCACACUGGAAGUGAGACACGGUCCAGACUCCUGCGGGAGGCAGCAGUGGGGAAUAUUGGACAAUGGGCGAGAGCAUGAUCCAGCCAUACGGCGUGUGUGAAGAAGGUCUUCGGAUUGGAAAGCAAUUUAAGUUGGGGGGAAGGGAAGUAAGUUAAUACCUUGCUGUUUUGACGGUACCAACAGAAUAAGCACCGGCUAACUUCGUG
rnacentral:rRNA from 1 species